rnacentral:tRNA from 1 species
GCCCGGGUGGUGGAAUUGGCAGACACGACGGUCUUAGAAGCCGUUGCCGCAAGGCUUGCAGGUUCGAGUCCUGUCCUGGGCA